UAAGAAUGCUAACACAUAUUCCCGGAAAAUUGCUCUUUCUGCUGUCAGAGCACCAGUGACCAAAAUUGCAGGCAAAACCACGUAUAAUAGAUGGGGAAGAACCACCACUAUGAUAUCAGGAGAUCCAACAUACUCAAGCUUCCCCUCUCCAUUAGAAGUCUCUAUGGCCCACCCCAUAUAGGUCAUGUAUACCAUAUUUUCCCCUUCAUUGAAAACUUGCCCCAUAAACCAGGGGGACAAUAUCAGAUACAAUAGGUAUGCUAUCCAACCAAACCAUAAUGUGUUGAUCCUGCACAGCUCCUGGAGAAACCAUAAUACACCAUUUACCAAGCCUUUAUUGACAAUGAAGUUCUUGUAAGUGUAUCUCUUCUCUAGAAAAACAAGGAGAGCUUUUGGAAGAAGAAGGAAUAAGAAGAAAAAGUAAAGAGCAGACCAGAAUAUUGGGUAGUAUAGGGCAGCCCAUUGACACCCCAUGACCAUGAACUCCUUCCAGCUCCAAGAAAGUUUGAGGCUAAGACCAUUGAUAGAAAACGGCCUCAAUUCAGUCAAAGUUGAUCUGCCUGCACUGUCAUUUGCUUCAAUUUGAAGCCAAUAUCUAUCAGGAGAAGCAUCCUCAAAGGCUUUGUAAUUCCAUGGUGCAAGAUAGAGGUCUCCCGUGGUGUUCUCAUCAUCAUGCCUGAUCAUAUGUGUUUCUAAUACUAAAUCAAGGUUUCCAGAUUUUGAGUCGUAGAUCCUAGCUACAACUGAUGCAACUGGGGCAACAGAAAACACCAGAGCUCGAAUUUUCUCAUAAGAUGAAGGGAGCACAGAUUUACAUUCAUAGUUGUGACGGCAUGAAGAUGUUAUCAUGAAGCGAGAGUCUAAUGGAAAAGUGGGCAAUAUAAUUGCAGGUUUGGUUCCUGAUUUGAAAUCAACAUCAACAUAUGAAACAUGACCUCUAUCAAUGGCUAAAAUUCGAAAGGCUCUACUCUUCCUCCAAUCACCCAUCUCCCACUCCCAAAAGUCUUGAAUUGGGAGAAAAAUGACCACUCAACUGAUGGUGCCGCUUUAAGUUCACACCAAAUCCAGUAUGGAGAUGCCCACACAGGUAAGCUGAUAGGGAAUGCUUUAGGAAAACAUCCUCCAAG
rnacentral:sRNA from 1 species